rnacentral:rRNA from 1 species
AGAUUGAACGCUGGCGGCAUGCUUUACGCAUGCAAGUCGAACGGCAGCGCGGGGCAACCUGGCGGCGAGUGGCGAACGGGCGAGUAAUAUAUCGGAACGUACCCAAGAGUGGGGGAUAACGUAGCGAAAGUUACGCUAAUACCGCAUACGAUCUAAGGAUGAAAGCAGGGGACCGCAAGGCCUUGUGCUCCCGGAGCGGCCGAUAUCUGAUUAGCUAGUGGUAGGGUAAAGCCUACCAAGGCUACGACCAGUAGCUGGUCUGAGAGGACGACCAGCCACACUGGAACUGAGACACGUCCAGACCUCGAGGGAGGCAGCAGGUGGGGUAAUUUAGGGACAAGUGGGACGCGAAGCCUGACUCCAGACAAGUCGCCGUACGUGAGUAGGAAGAACGGUCGUUCGGGUUAGUAAG